rnacentral:misc_RNA from 1 species
GGAGGACCGGCCGUCGGCGAAUGGGGAGGAUGAUGUGGAGGGUUUGGCGAACGAGGUGGAGAGUUAUAUGAAAGAUGUGAUUCGUUUAUCGAACCGAUUGAAUGGGAAACCGGAGAAGGAGGCAACGGAUUUGCGGAGGAAUUUGUUUCCAACGCCAUUUUCGUUCUUCGUGGGAAGUACGUUUGAAGGGGCACCAAGGGAACAACAAGCAUUGCUUGAAUUAGAAGAUACCGCGAUGAGAUUGAAGAGGGAGAAGGAGACUUUGAGGAAUACUUUGAACUAUCUAAGUGCUGCUUCUGCUGUGAAGGAUGUGUUUCCCUCUACCUGAUUAAAAAUGUGUAAGAAUUUUUGGUGCUGAAUUACCUAAAGGGGUUGUUGACUUGUUAGAUUACUAUGGUUUCGUAAUGUAUACACAGUGAUGAAUUUUCUUAUGAAUAUGUAAAUUUUGAUGCCUAAU